UCUGUGAUUCGAUUUUUUCUAGAGAUUUUCUGUGAGUGAACAUGACGUAAACACAAUAUAUAAAAAUAUGAAAUGUCCACAAAAGCAAAAGAGGCUUACGAUCAAGUUUAAUGAAGAUAUAUACAUGAAUGCACAUAUUUAACAGUGUUAUUUUAGUGUUUACUCUCUGGCUAGCAAACGGAAUAUUACAAUAUUUUGAUUUUAAGGCACAUGAACCAAAUGGUAAGGUACCUACCUAUAAACAAAGAAUUCUAGAACGUUAAUGCUCAUCAGUGACCUAUGCGCUUGAAGUCUAUCUAUGUGGUGUUUGAAUAUCAGGAACCAUGGAAAAAGAAGAUAUAAUACUUGGAGUGGAAAUGGGACGGUUAGAAAUAGAACCACUUAAAUUACAUAAAAACAGAAGUAAUGAAAAUCCAUUUAUAAAUGUCUCAAAUAAAAAAACAUUUCUUAAGACAACUCCACUUACAAAGGAAACAAGAUGCUCAUGUUCCACUCAAAUGAAACAAAAACCAGCAAUCUACAAAAAGAAACAUAGAAAAAUUAUAAAAGAACCGAUAUUGAAUAUAUUAAAAAAAAUUGGUAAUGUCAAAUUAGAAACAGAGGACUGCCAAGAAUCAAUAAGUAAAAACAUGUCAGAUAUUGAGAGAUGUGACUCAUUAAGUUUAUGCACACUUGUUGACAAUUGUAACCAGCUAACAAUAUCCUCCAAUGCCAAUCUUCAGAAUUUUGUAACAUCUUGUGAAAGUAAUCAGACUAGAUGGUGGAAAAAUGAUGCGUCAACUUCGCAGGAGCAAAGAGGAUCAAAACAACAGAGUAGAUCUGGCAGCUGUUCUCAGCAAGCUCUUAAUCCUCCCUGUGAUGUCACCAUUGAUGAAUUAGCAAGUUAUUUUGAAACUCUAGUACAUAUACCAAAAAAAAUGUCAUCUAUGGCUGAAAUGAUGUACAUAUGAUAAAAAUGAUAAGUAUACAUAACACUGACCAAGAAUAAAAAAAUCGUAGUAGUACAAAAUGCAAACAAAUAUAUUAUGUUCCAUUUCAUUGGAUGGGGAAAAUGUACUAUUAAUUUGAAAAGAUCCUUUGCGUUGCUUUAUAUAUUAUGUAUUAUCAGUUUUGUCAAGUCCAUGUUAAAUAUAAGAUCAACCUGAUUACAAUGUAGGUAUGCAAGUUUACAUUCAAGUCACUGUUAUGAUGAAUGUUUAUGAACUAGUUAUUUUUACUUAAGGUAAAUGCUUUAACUGCUCCUGUUCUUACAAUUUGAAUGUAAUCUGAUAAACUUUUUGCAAAAUAUAACAUAUCAGAUUACAUUUGAAUUGGAACAGCUUUCAGAGUUACGAGGACAUUAAAAAUGGUUUGAGGUAUAUUGUUACCAUGAUUGAUUAGAUCACGGCUCAUAAUGAAUGUUAACUUAGGUAAAAAAAAAACAUUUUAUACUUGAAUUUCCUGCUGAUAGUUGAUGCAUUCACCUUAAGAGCCAUUUCAUUUGUGGAGUUCAAAAUCUUUGAAAUUCUCACAACAAUGUGAAAUGGCUAUCAAAUCCUAUCUAUUAUGAUUUGUAUGGUAUUUUUUGGUGACAUUCUAUCUUCAAUCAACAAUCGCAAGUAGAUGAUGUACUAUCUAAUGCAGACUUUGAAAUGGUUGAGUAAGAGCUCACAUUUACACAAUUCCAAUCCAGAUUUCGUAAUUUCAAUAUUAUGCUGUGUCAGCUGUUCCAAAAUACAAUAAAAAGUGCGUAAUUAUCGCAUAUGUUGCAUCUAGUUUAAAACUUAUGUGUUUGCAUAACAUGCUGACAGCUACAUUUAGGUGAAUUUGUGAGGCGUUAGGCCAUUAGGGUAGCUAGUCUUUUUGUAGCGUUUUUGUCAUAUCUUCUAAAGUUCUAACGCGUGUUAGGUACUGGCAUUUGCAACGUGCUACUGUAUUGCUACAAACGCGCGACCGCGUCGUACGACAUCAGAGAGUGAACAGAGGGGGAGGGAGUUUUUUGAAUGUUGUAAUGAUGAUGAUGUCAUCGCGACUGAAUUUGCUCCCGUGAGCGAGGGCACACAGCUAGCGACCGCUUCGCGUCUGUAUGGAUGCUACACGCGACAGCAUCGGUACAAAAAGUAGCCGUGGGCCUUAUUGACUCGACCGUUUUAUGUCCUGACCAGUUAUCUACUUGGCAUUGUUGAAUGAAGCAUUUAAUUUUACUUGUAACUUGUAAGUAAAGUAAAAAAUGAAUAAAAUAAUUUAAGGAUUGGUAUAAUAAAAAAAGAAGUAAGGAA